rnacentral:rRNA from 1 species
UUAGAUACCCUAUUAUACUAGUAAUAACCUAAAUUAUUAAUAGAUAUUUCUUUAAAUUUGAAGAAUUUGGCGGUGAUUUAGUCUUGUUAGAGGAACCUGUUUUUAAAUCGAUACACCACGUUAAAUCUUACUUGUUUUAUUUAGUUUAUAUACCGUCAUUAUCAGAUAAUUUUAAGAAAAUAAAUUAUUGAAAUCUAGAUUAAUUAGAUUAAAUUAGAUCAAGGUGUAGCCUAUAAGCAAGUUAAAAUGGGUUACAAUAAAAUUUAUUUAUUAUGGAGCAAUUAGUAGGAAAUUAUAUUGUAAAGGAGGAUUUAAUUGUAAUACAAGUUUAGUAAGCUUGAAAGAUAUAAGCUCUAAAUCAUGUACAUAUCGCCCGUCGCUA